CAGCAGCCACGGUAAUACGUAGGUGGCAAGCGUUGUCCGGAAUUAUUGGGCGUAAAGCGCGCGCAGGUGGUUUAAUAAGUCUGAUGUGAAAGCCCACGGCUCAACCGUGGAGGGUCAUUGGAAACUGUUAAACUUGAGUGCAGGAGAGAAAAGUGGAAUUCCUAGUGUAGCGGUGAAAUGCGUAGAGAUUAGGAGGAACACCAGUGGCGAAGGCGGCUUUUUGGCCUGUAACUGACACUGAGGCGCGAAAGCGUGGGGAGCGAACAGGAUUAGAUACCCCAGUAGUCCCUGUCUCUUAUAC
rnacentral:rRNA from 1 species